GUUGGCAUUUUGUCGAAGGGGGUACACCCGUUCUCAUUCCGAACACGGAAGUUAAGUCCUUCAGAACCGAUGGUACUCUGUCAUCAAGCAGGGGAGAGUAGGUAGAUGCCAACA
rfam:Candidatus Kaiserbacteria bacterium RIFCSPHIGHO2_02_FTLL_49_34 rifcsphigho2_02_scaffold_20042, whole genome shotgun sequence.